AAUACAAAAAAGCAUAAAAAGUCACGCAUGUAAAUGACAAUAUAUUGAGCCCAGAAAAAAACUAUCAUGUCCAUUUUUGUAUAUCGAAUGAUAAGUUUAUAUAGUAAUUAUCAUGACAGGCCUAAAUGUAUGCCGUCCACAUCAGUCCAAUAUGGGACUAAAAGUGUACAAAAUAUGUAAUGAAGGCUCUUAUUUUCCUCACAUCUCUCACUUCCUUUUCUCAUCACUCCCUUGUUUACUUGAUUGAGUUCACCUGAGUGCUCCCAAUCUAAGUCUUGCACCCAUUCAGGCUUUCCACCUUCACAUGGGGCAGCAGUAUUGGUUGCUCCGGUGGAAACAGCUCCAUCCACAGACUCAACAAGGUGAACAGGUUUACCUUGGAUAGCCUGGGGCCAUGACCUGGCUCACCUUGCAGUCUGCAGUCAGUCUGGGUGCUGCUGUCCCUCGUAUCCCGACCCGGCCUGGACUGGCCCGGAUCGGCUCGGUUCCUUAUCUCGCUGCCUUCCAUUUAGUCCGUCAGCAGGCCAAAUAAUAUCUGGUACUGGCCUCCAAUAAGACAACAGCUACUAGCAAGAUGAGAAGAGUUCAACCGGUAUUAUAAUGAUCUGGUAAACAGUGACGUUUCCGGCAAGUACUUUCAAAAUAAAAGCGUCAAGGGCGAACCAAAUUUCCAUUUCCAUAAGAAAUAAAUAAAAGUUGCACUUGGAACAAAAAAAUACAACAACAGAACAAUUAAAAUACAUGUAUAUUUUUCUCUGAAAUUACCCAUCUAUAUGACUUCUUGGGAAAACUCAAUCAUUUGACACUAAACGUUUUAGUCCAGUAGGUGGCGGUGAAGCACCCAUACAUUGGGUUGCCAACUGCAAAAAAGAAAAUCAAAGAAGAAAAGGAGUGAUGUGAUUGGCUGAUUCUGACCGGUUUGGGUCGACACGUUUGACUUGGAGCGACAUAAUAACAGAUGUUCAGUGAGCCACCGCCACCGCACCAACAUGGACUUUUUCAUGGUCCUUCGAGGCGGAUUGAACAUCUAUGCUGGGAAACAGAUCCAUUUUCGUUGCACCUGGAGAUGAGGGAGAGUAAAGCGGGAUGCCACAGGGAGAUAACGCCUCUAUGAUUUCUACAAGACGACCAAACUGAACUUUAUGGCAAGCCCCCAAACAAUUGAGAGUAUGUGCAGAACCUGUUCCAGAAACUUCAGAGACUGAUUUAUUAAGACAGGAAGUAUCAUAGUUAAAUGGUAUGUUUAAAGAUUUAAUGGGAAGAAUUGAACAGAGUAAAAUGUACAGUCCCAUGAAGCUCCCCAAACACAAUAUGCAUGUAACAGACUACUGAGUGACACAGAGGUUCAGGCUCAGAAGGCCUGAACCUGCUCUGAACAUGGAGAAAUGUCCCAGUCAGUCCAAACACUUUCCCCUCUUGUCCACAGGUCCUCUGCCUUGUAGAAUGUGAGCAUUAAAGACCUGCUUCAGCUCCUCAUCUAAUGCAUGGACCAGAGCUUUGACACCAGGAACCCGCAACCUAAUUUCCCUCAUGUGCCACCUAACCCAGCAUUGCCUCCUAUGCACCUCCAAGUUCUGCCUUACCCCCAAAUUCCAUCCCAUGUUUCCCCCGCUGGCUUCCCAGGGAGUCAGCACAGCUUCACAUUUAAACAACAUUUUAAAAAAAAAGCUUUCUGUAACGAAUGUGAUCCAGCCUGAAGGUUCUGGAGCAGCGAUGCAUCCUGCUGCAGAGUCCACUUGGUCAGAAGAGAGGUUAUAAAUCCAAAGAGUAGCGCUCCGUUCUUGAAGGCUCCACAGCGACUCGCUCUGCUGGUAAAGUCCUUGAACAUCACUCCAUCCCUUCUGCCCAAACCCCCAAAUUCCUUCCCAUGUGUCCUCUCACCAAAUGUCUCCCCCACUGGCUUCCCCGGGAGUUAACACAGCUCCAAUAGUAUAUGUGCAUUAGUGUCAGUUAUAACUUAACAUCUCUUUCAAGUCCCUGACAAAGAUUCCAGGCUCUUGGUCCCCCAUUUUAACUUUUCCAGAAGUAAAAUAAGACAUGUUAGAACAUUUAAGCACUGGCCAAAAAAACAAAAAGACAAAUUCAAGUAUACAUACAGCAUAUAAAGAAUACGAUGACAGAAAAAGGCAACAAGACUUUGUCGAGUAACUUCACAGGAACUGGCCAAAUUGCCUUCGCCAAGUCCACCAAUAAAGCAGCAGUCCAUCUUGUGAAUGAUGCUGCUGAUGUGCCCACAUGCGCUUUAGUAAAUAGACAUUUAAAAAAAGCUUUUUGUCAGGAAUGUGAUCCGGCCUGAAGGUUCUGGAGCAGCGAUGCACAACCACGUCCGCUUGGUCAGAAGAGAGUUUAUAAAUCCGAAGAGUAUCGCUCAGUUCUUGAACGCUCCGCAGCGACUCGCUCUGCUGAUGAAGUCCUUGAGCAUCACUCCAUCCACCUGCCAGAAGGCUCGAGUCUGAGUCACCUCAGUCAGAUGGUUCACACAAAACCUGAAACAAAACACCUCCAGGUCCUAGAAAGAGACAAAACAAAGAUCGGAUUAGAAUAUUCAGCAUAGUUCAGUGUUGGAGCAGUUUCUGGAAUAGAUAUGCAAAUCUAUUGUUCAUGUAGUUCACAGUGUGUACACUUGGUGUCACUGUAGUCUGGAGGAAAAAUGGCAACUCCAAUUUAUGCAGAAUAUCAGUUGGUUUAUAUUAAGACUUUGCUGGGUUUUUUUUAUUAGGGUAAUUUUUUAUCUAAUAGAUAUCACCAUGAAACUUCCCCAGUUUGUUAUUUACAUUGAAACAAUGUUUUCUUUGCAUUAAAGUUUUCUGAAAUUGUAUGUUUAGUUAUGCAAAUUAUAUGUUAACUAAUUAAAUAUGAGCUAAUUUGCAUAUGACAUAAAUCUGAACAUUGGAUAAAGCAAAUUUCAAAGUUAUUUUAUUUUGUUGAUAUAUCAGAUUCAAAGUUAUUUACGGAACAGAAUUGGGUUAUCUGCUUUUAUCAUUUCACAAAUUAGAAAAUACUGUAAAAAGCCAUAAAAAGUCCAUUUUCGUCAUGUUUUUAGAAACAAUGUUCUAUAAAUCAGGUUAUGAAUGAUAUAUAGACAAACCUCUCUGUAAAAACCUUCAGAAUAGUUAAGAAUAAAGCUGGAAAGUUUGGUCCCUGGCCUCCUUUUUGCAGAAGUCGCCCUCUGGCAAAGCAAGCAGAGUAUCCCUGCAAUACGCUUUAACCAUGUCAUCACAGUGUUGUACCUCUGCGUCGUAUUGUAUGGCAGCAGACAGCAGGGUGAAGGCGUUUUCCACAGUGAUCCCUCUCUUGAUGAUCUGCUGACACAGCCGUUUUAGGCGGUUCUCACAGUAAGAGGUGGCCAGGUCCAACAGGCCUGCAGCAGAAACAGGUGAAGGUAUAAAUAGAGCCGAUUAGAAACCGUACGAAUGAGAAAACGUAGUAUUUGACAGCUGCAUGUUAGCUAACCAAUGGCGUCCUCAGGUUGAAGGUCAACAGUGUCGGUGUAGAGAAACUGCAGGAAGGAUCUGUAGACGUGGUAAGAGAACUGGCCGAUCUCUAUCACCUCCUGCUGAUCCUCCGUCCACUGGGAGCGGAACAUGGACCGGAAGUGCUCACACCUACUCCAAACAAAAACACUGUAUUGGUAUUGUGUGUGUGUGUGUGUGUGUAAAAAGAAAUGCAAUUAAUAAUUUGGCAUGAUAACUUUCAGUUCUUGCACACGCACCUGAUCUUCAGCACAGCUUUGUGAACGUGGAUGUAUUUUCCGUCUACGCUGAAUUUAAGAUCAGACGUUUCUGGACUGUCAAACUCUUUCCUCAGAGCCUCCGCAACAGUGAGGAAGUCAUCAUGCUCUGGGGAAAAAAACAGAAUACAAUAGAAGUCAAAGGUCUGGCGGAACAAAUUCUGAACUGCUUGUAGGCAAUUUAUGGAUCUUCUGUUAAGACAGGUGAAGAGUGAGUUAAGGAAAUAAAUGCAUGGAUAACCAUCUCUAAGUGAAGUCUGUACAAAGAGCCAAGGCUUUCCAUAAUAUGUGGGACAACAUCCUCUGAGGUAGAACUAAGAAGUAAGUAGUUCAAAUCUUUUAUAGAGUAUUUGCAAUUUAAAAGAGAGUUUUUAGAUAUUUCAAGGCUGUGCAAUUGGGUGUCGUCUGCGUAACAGUGGUAAGAAAUGUCAUUGAAAUUUUUAUUAUCUGACCAAGCGGAGCCAAUACAAGGCAAACAGUACAGGGCCUAGGACAGAGCCCUGCAGGACGCCACAGCACCGUGACUCAGAUGACGAACUUACAGGUCAGACAGACAUGAGCCUCCACAUGACGGAGGGUGUGGCGAAGCAGGCGAAGACGUCGUCAGUGCUGGUGAAGUGUGUAAGGUGUGGCAUGACGAUAGGCUGACCCCGACACUGACCCCACAUAUACACCUGCAGGAUGAACAUGUGAGGGCCAUGGAGUGAUGCGAGCCACAUGCCACUUCUUUCACUUUCUUGUUCUGUGGGUUGGCGGUGACCAGCAGGGGGGCCAGGCCCUGGUUGGUGGUCCCGUUCCCCAGCUGACUGUAGCCAUUGUGUCCCCAGG